UACGUAGGGUGCAAGCGUUGUCCGGAAUUAUUGGGCGUAAAGAGCUCGUAGGCGGUUCGUCGCGUCGGCUGUGAAAUCCCGGAGCUCAACUCCGGGUCUGCAGUCGAUACGGGCGGACUCGAGUUCGGCAGGGGAGACUGGAAUUCCUGGUGUAGCGGUGAAAUGCGCAGAUAUCAGGAGGAACACCGGUGGCGAAGGCGGGUCUCUGGGCAGUACUGACGCUGAGGAGCGAAAGCGUGGGGAGCGAACAGGG
rnacentral:rRNA from 1 species